rnacentral:rRNA from 1 species
AGUGAACGCUGGCGGUAGGCCUAACACAUGCAAGUCGAACGGCAGCACAGUAAGAGCUUGCUCUUACGGGUGGCGAGUGGCGGACGGGUGAGGAAUACAUCGGAAUCUACUUUUUCGUGGGGGAUAACGUAGGGAAACUUACGCUAAUACCGCAUACGACCUACGGGUGAAAGCAGGGGAUCUUCGGACCUUGCGCGAUUGAAUGAGCCGAUGUCGGAUUAGCUAGUUGGCGGGGUAAAGGCCCACCAAGGCGACGAUCCGUAGCUGGUCUGAGAGGAUGAUCAGCCACACUGGAACUGAGACACGGUCCAGACUCCUACGGGAGGCAGCAGUGGGGAAUAUUGGACAAUGGGCGCAAGCCUGAUCCAGCCAUACCGCGUGGGUGAAGAAGGCCUUCGGGUGGUAAAGCCCUUUUGUUGGGAAAGAAAAGCAGCAGGUUAAUACCCCGCUGUUCUGACGGUACCCAAAGAAUAAGCACCGGCAAACUUCGU